CUCAGUCACUCCACGGCCACUGCCCUGCGCUUCCUGGUGGAGAAUCAUGGCUGGAGCACCAACUUCCUCACCACGGCUUGGUUCUUGGAACAGAGGCACGAGACCCAUGUCCCCUCCAUGGUCAUCGGUUGCAGCUUUUGGGACAGUCAACAAGCUGCAAAGAGCAGCAUGAACAAAAUGAACCGGAAAAGAUGUUCAGCCACCAGCAAGCUGACGACUGCGCCACUUCACCAUGCUGUGCCACGACGCCAAAUUGUGUGCCGACGCCAAGCUGUGCCACGACGCCAAGCCACAUCGUUA